rnacentral:rRNA from 1 species
CCUACGGGAGGCAGCAGUGGGGAAUAUUGGACAAUGGGCGAAAGCCUGAUCCAGCCAUGCCGCGUGUGUGAAGAAGGCCUUCGGGUUGUAAAGCACUUUCAGUGGGGAAGAAAGCCUUGGGGCUAAUACCCUCGAGGAAGGACAUCACCCACAGAAGAAGCACCGGCUAACUCCGUGCCAGCAGCCGCGGUAAUACGGAGGGUGCGAGCGUUAAUCGGAAUUACUGGGCGUAAAGCGCGCGUAGGCGGUCUGAUAAGCCGGUUGUGAAAGCCCCGGGCUCAACCUGGGAACGGCAUCCGGAACUGUCAGGCUAGAGUGCGGGAGAGGAAGGUAGAAUUCCCGGUGUAGCGGGGAAAUGCGUAGAGAUCGGGAGGAAUACCAGUGGCGAAGGCGGCCUUCUGGACUGACACUGACGCUGAGGUGCGAAAGCGUGGGUAGCAAACAGGAUUAGAUACCCCUGUAGUC